GGCAUGGUGGCUUAGUGGUUAGCACUAUUGCCUCGCACCAGUUGGGGGUUCGAAUCCCACCUCUGCUC